AGCAGCCGCGGUAAUCCCAGCUCCAAUAGCGUAUAUUAAAGUUGUUGCAGUUAAAAAGCUCGUAGUUGAAUUUCGGGGUCAUCAGGUUGGUCGUGCCACUGGUAUGCACUGGCUUUGCUGAUUCCUCCUUCUUGAAGAACUGUAAUGCUAUUAAUUUAGUGUUGCAGGGAAACAGGACUGUUACUUUGAAAAAAUUAGAGUGUUUAAAGCAGGCUAACGCUUGAAUACAUUAGCAUGGAAUAAUGAAAUAGGACGUUUGAUCCUAUUUUGUUGGUUUCUAGGAUUGACGUAAUGAUUAAUAGGGAUAGUUGGGGGCAUUAGUAUUCAAUUGUCAGAGGUGAAAUUCUUGGAUUUAUUGAAGACUAACUACUGCGAAAGCAUUUGCCAAGGAUGUUUUCAUUAAUCAAGAACGAAAGUUAGGGGAUCGAAGACGAUCAGAUACCGUCGUAGUCUUAACCAUAAACUAUGCCGACUAGGGAUCGGAUGAUGUUAAUUUUUAAUGACUCAUUCGGCGCCUUAA
rnacentral:rRNA from 1 species